UAAAAAUAUUGUAAUAUUAAUGAAUCAAGGGUCAAGGUGUUUGUAGAAGAUAGAUAAUAUGAUCUAUUAUAUUAUGUACUAUUAGAAAUAUUCAGAAUAUGUACAAUAGACAUAAGUAUGAUGUCGAGUUGAACGAUUUGCACAUACUAACUAAUGUAAUAUAACCAAAAUAAUAUAGUACAUGUUGCAGUUUUGGUAUAUAAGAUUAACAUGUCAUUGUCUAUCAUAUUUAGAGGACACUGUAGUUUGCUUGUCCAUAGCUAAUCUUCCUGAUGCAAAAAACCAGAGCAUAGGGAGA
rnacentral:lncRNA from 1 species